rnacentral:lncRNA from 1 species
GGCUUGGACUGGACUUUGAGCAGAUUUAGUGUCUUGCUGAUGAACGUUUCUGUCCUUGUGUUGUAAUGGAAGGCAACGCCUCUGUUCCCACCAGCAGAGGGCAACAUUCACCAACUUACCUCUCUGCCAUCAUUCCCCCCCAUCCUCCCGUCCCGCUCCUCUCCGUCCCCAUCGACAGCCCCUCCCAUCGGAGACCAGAAGCUCUCCGGACCCCCCCCCCCCACCCAUCGUUGCCCUGGAGACGGCUCAGACGAGCAGGUGAUGCAUUGACAGGGAGCAGAUGGUUCCCUGUGGAGACCAGGAGCCACGCAGCCUCGGUGGGACAGACCUUCCAGGAAUCCUCUGGGACUCGUGGCUGGAAGCAGGCGUCCCCUCAGCACAUGCACCUGGCUCCCUGACGGCCCCCGCUCCGCUCAGCGCACGCACAGGGUGAGUCCAUCCGUGCCCACCCAGCCUCAAACCCGCAGAGCAGCUGAGCAGCCGGCUGCCGCCACUGCCCACCACGCCAAUAUCCCAAAUGAAAGACACGUCAAACGCCGCUGAAUGAGCCCCAUGUAGAGAACACGAGAGAGGGGAUCCGUAAGACUCGGGGCAUCUGUCCACCUCUCUGACACUAAUGAAUGUUAAGUAGGUUAGCUGCUGGUGUGCCACUGUCCCAGCAGUCUUUGUGACCACCGGUGGCGGCGGGGCUGUGCCUUUGUCAGGGUGCGCCGAGCCCCCUGUGAGACGUCCAAAAUGGCUGCACCACUUAUUCCUGCACCAACAGUUACCAUAUUGAUCCUCCUUGCUUGCAGAUUAAAGUAUAAAAGGAUGUCUGUCCUGCCGGUGGGGGUCCCUACUGACUCCUGGAGCUCAUUUAAGGGUCACGGAGCCCUUGUAGCCCCCUGACCCGAACCACAACGUGAACACACACAAACAGCAGUGCAGCUCAGGACAGAACCCGGGAUGAACUCCAUUAAACGGGAUUGUUGGGAUGCUCACAUUCGUGGCUCAUUAUUGCUGACCCCAGGCUUUCUGUCUCUCAAUCUGACUCCUCUCCUCCUGUGUCUCCGGGUCUAACCUGGCCCAAGGCAUGCUGAGGUGGUCGCCCGCACCCCUUUGUUGGCUUGAUUGUUUCAGAACUGGAUCUCCUCAUUCUGUUGUGUUGCCCUGCAUUGUCGGGUUCCUGUGGUUUGCUUUAAAGUUUGGCCUCAGCCUUAGAAAGUGUGCAGCUCUUUUGUCUCGGGUUUUGAAAGCUAAUCUCUCAGAUGAUGAAUGUGCUGCUGUCACUGGCACUAGUCACAGAGUGUAGAAAAGUUGAAGGCUUUAUUUGAAUUCUUAUUUUAGCAGCUCCAUUCACACUACAACACAUCUGUCCGCGUGUCCUUGGUGGUGACCUCACCAGGAUGCUGCUCUGAUCUCUGGGUCCCUGUUCAAUGCCUGCUCCCUUAAUGAAACGCUGAUUAAAUGCCUAUUAAUGUUCCCUGACUCACAGACAGGGUGUAAUCAGGUGAAACGAAAUUAAUAAAACAUCCAGCGUAGUGGAUGGAGGAGAAAUA